CAACAAUGGCCGAGACAGGAAGCAUUACUGUCAGUGACACAAGCGAAGUAAGGAUUGGUAAACCUAAAAUUGAAGGAGAAGGAAAAGCUUUCUGUCACUGUGAGGAAGGGUGGACUUGUGUGAUCACCAAAACUAAAGGCCCAGAUGCCGGCAAGGUGUUCUUCAAGUGUGGCAAAGGUUGCACCUGCGUGAGCGUGACAGAUGCAGGUAUCAGUACUACCUCAAGCAGCAUCCCUGAGGGUUUUGGUGGAUUGGGAGGAGGCAAGACUUUCUGCAAAUGCGAGGAUGGGUGGGCAUGUGAGAUCUAUAAGACAGAGACCCCUAAUGCAGGAAAACCGUUCUAUAACUGUGCUGAAGGUUGCAAGUGUGUGACUCCUGCUUCAUGCUUUGCUGUUAAGAAUAAUAGUAACUAGUUAGUAAGGUGUGGGCUUGUCAGGUAGCUAGCCAAGAGUGCAAAGAGUGGUCUUUCUUUAGUUCAACACUGUCUAGUGUUUGUAGAUCAUCAUGUGUGUAUCUAUUGUAAUGUUAUGAUGUAUCUGUUAC